rfam:Astyanax mexicanus chromosome 17, whole genome shotgun sequence.
ACCAGGAAGGCCGAGUGGUUAAGGCGUUGGAUUUAAGAUCCAAUGGGCGAAUGCCAAUGUGGGUUCGAACCCCACUCCUGGUA